rnacentral:rRNA from 2 species
GCAGUCGAACGAACUCUGGUAUUGAUUGGUGCUUGCAUCAUGAUUUACAUUUGAGUGAGUGGCGAACUGGUGAGUAACACGUGGGAAACCUGCCCAGAAGCGGGGGAUAACACCUGGAAACAGAUGCUAAUACCGCAUAACAACUUGGACCGCAUGGUCCGAGUUUGAAAGAUGGCUUCGGCUAUCACUUUUGGAUGGUCCCGCGGCGUAUUAGCUAGAUGGUGGGGUAACGGCUCACCAUGGCAAUGAUACGUAGCCGACCUGAGAGGGUAAUCGGCCACAUUGGGACUGAGACACGGCCCAAACUCCUACGGGAGGCAGCAGUAGGGAAUCUUCCACAAUGGACGAAAGUCUGAUGGAGCAACGCCGCGUGAGUGAAGAAGGGUUUCGGCUCGUAAAACUCUGUUGUUAAAGAAGAACAUAUCUGAGAGUAACUGUUCAGGUAUUGACGGUAUUUAACCAGAAAGCCACGGCUAACUACGUGCCAGCAGCCGCGGUAAUACGUAGGUGGCAAGCGUUGUCCGGAUUUAUUGGGCGUAA